rnacentral:rRNA from 1 species
CUAUACAUGACUCUGCGCAUAUCAAUAAGCGGAGGAAAAGAAACUAACAAGGAUUCCCUCAGUAACGGCGAGUGAAGCGGGAAGAGCUCAAAUUUGAAAUCUUGAAAGGUCACCUUUCACGAAUUGUAGUUUAAAGAAGUGUUUUCUGUUACGAUCGUAAUAUAAGUUCUUUGAAAUAGGACAUCACAGAGGGUGAGAAUCCCGUCUAUGAUUGCGAUUUGUAGCUUUGUGAUACACUUUCAAAGAGUCGGGUUGUUUGGGAAUGCAGCCCAAAACGGGAGGUAAAUUUCUUCUAAGGCUAAAUAUUGGCGAGAGACCGAUAGCGAACAAGUACCGUGAGGGAAAGAUGAAAAGAACUUUGAAAAGAGAGUUAAAUAGUACGUGAAAUUGUCAAAGGGAAGCGUUUAACACCAGUGUUGUUUUCUGAAAAUCAACCUCUGUUAGCUUUAUGCAUGUUUGUUUAGACCUAAUCAGCUAUCUUGCAUGUUCUAUUGUUUGCAGUGGUGCACUUUUCAGUUUACAGGUCAACAUCAGUUUUUUUUACCGUAAAAAAGUUAAAGAAAGGUAGCUCAUGGCUCCGGUCGUGAGUGUUAUAGUCUUUUUCCUAUGCGGUAGGAGAGACUGAGGUCUGCAGUGUAGGCUAUUUGGCUAGAUACUCAGGUGCUAUGUGAUACCAUUUCAUAAACAACUUGUUGAUUAUGUUUUGUCUAUUGCAUACUCGCUUGUACUAUCAUACCUACGCUUAGGAUGUUGAGUCGUAGAGCACGCAG